GUGGGCUGUCACUGGAGCUGCAAAGAACGGAAAGGAAGUUAUCGAGUGCAGUUGAGUAAUGGAGCCGGUGGCUGGGGUACUGGAAGUGAAGGAUUGACAAACAGGAAACUCAAACCAAACAUCACAUCAAAAUCUGACAGAGUCACUCACAUCAUCAGAACCUGAAUAUCAACAGCAUCUGAAUGUGGAAGGGUAUUAGAAGGGGAGGAUUUGCAGUCAGGAAACUGAAACCAAACAUCACAUCAGAAUCUGAUGGAGCCUCUCAAUUUAUCAGUCUGGCAAUAUCAUCAGCCUUGGAACAUGGAAGGAAAAAGCACCGUUCACACUGGUGAGAAACCCUAUAAAUGUGGGGACUGUGGGAAGGGGUUCAAUUACUCGUCUCAGUUGGAAACUCAUCGGCGCAGUCACACUGGGGAGCAGCCAUUUACCUGCUCUGAGUGUGGGAAGGGAUUCACUCAGUCAUCCAACCUGCUGUAACACCAACGAGUUCACGCUGACGAGGGAGAGUUUAAAUGCUGUAACUGUGAAAAGAGCUUUAAAAGCCCACGUUCACUGAUGGAACACCAGCGCAUUCACACCAGUUCCAUGCCGUUCAGCUGCUCUUGAGUGUGGGAAGAGAUUCAGGGGAUCCUCCACCCUGCUGAAACACCAAUGCACUCACAUCGGGGAGAGGCCGUUCAGCUGCUCCAAGUGUGGGAAGGGAUUCACUCGAUCAUCCAAUCUGUUGAGGCACUGGCAUGUUCAGUCAGAUGAGAGACCUUUUAAAUGUCCAGACUGUGGGAAGUGCUUUAAAAGGUCUGAGAAACUGACGUCCCAUCAACGUGUUCCCACUGACGAGAGACCGUUCAUGCGUUCUCACUGCGGGACUGGGUUCAGGUGGGCAGACGACCUCACUGCACACCAACGAGUUCAUACUGGGGAGAGACCGUUCACCUGCUCUGAGUGUGGGAAGGGAUUCACUCGUUUAUCUCAUCUCACUACACAUCACCUUGUUCACAAAGAUACGAGACCUUUUCAAUGUUCUGACUGUGAGAAGCACUUUAAAAGCAGAAAUGAUCUGGUGAAACAUCAGCAAAUUCACACUGGGGAUAGGCUGUUCACCUGCUCUGUGUGUGAGAAGAGAUUCACUCAUUCAUCCAACCUGCUGAAACAUCAGUGAAUUCACAAGUGAUGACAGGGGUUGGAUUCUGCUGUUGUUGCUGCUGUUAAUCACAUCCUGGACUAAACCGUGUCCAUUCUGACAGUUGGGGUUGAUCUCUAAUGUCAGUUGCCCAGUUUAGACUUAGUGUGUAUCUGCACCGUCUCUCAAUCAUGUGUGAAUAAACCAUCAUGUCUGCAAACCUCGUUUUCAAUGCAAAUCACUCAGAAACUGUCUUGAACUAAAGAUGAACAAUAAAUAGAUCACAGUGCUCAAUAUUGACUGGAGAAAGUCUGUCCUGUAACUCGAGGAUGAGGCUCGGUAAGCUUUGAAUGUUUGUAAUCACAAGGAGGCUCAAGCUGUUUGUGAGACGGGCUGAUCAAAGCUGUUAAUUUAUCAGAUAUUGAAGGAAUUACUCUGAAAAUAAACUCACCAGUUUAUAACCUCAGACUCUGCUCCUCGCUGUAAUUAAUACUCAGCAUCCAUUUGUGCUGAUUUGCAAUGAAUCACUGAAUAUCCUGUGGAAUCUUUGUUCUUUGUUUUGUGAAAUAGCUUUCCCCAUUUGUGCUGAAUUGCUGAAUAACUCUGAUCACAUUUAGACACGUCUAGAAAGGGUCUGUGUGCCCACAUUUUACUGUGAUUUGAAAACAAUAAACAAUGAUCAUGGC